rnacentral:tRNA from 1 species
GGGGGCGCUAUGGGAAAAAUCUGACUGUAAAUCAGCCGCCUCAUGGCUUCGCAGGUUCGAGUCCUGCCUCCCCCACCA